ACUCGGACUGACAUGGCGGCGGCGGGUGCUGCUAGGCAACGGGCGUGAGUGAGUGAGGGCGGCGGCGGCGAGAUGUUCCUGGUGAAUUACAGCAGCAGUGAGGAGGAUGAAGAGGAGCCGCGGCCGGGGGUCCGGGUAGAUGUUGGAGCCGCCGCCGCCUGCAGCGAGGAAGUGAAGUCCCAGCGCCUGCCAAUCCCAGAGAGUGUGAUGGGAAUGUUCUCGCAAUCAGAGGAGCACCUAGACGAUAGCAGUAAACACGAUGGUCGAAUCCGCAGCUUCCAGCACCAACGAGGGAACUGGUCAACACUGGUCUAUGUGGAGUAUUAUCCUGAAGAGGAGUUUGUGGAACUAAUUGAUCUAUUACUGACACACCUGCAAGUGCACAAGCUGCCGAUGACUCGGGUAACGGAGUUCCAUGUAAGUCUGUCACAGACCGUGGUACUGCGCCAUCAUUGGAUAAGCAUUUUUGUGGAGUCGUUAAAGGAAAAGAUGACCUUUUUUGACAGGUUUUACUGCCUUUCGGAUAAAGUGAAGAUCUACACUAAUGAAGAGAAGACCAGGACCUUCCUUGGUCUAGAGGUUUCAGCUGGCAGCAACUAUCUACUGGAACUGCUCAAAGAAGUGGAUAAAUCCAUGGAGGAGUUUAACCUGAAAACUUAUCAUAAGAGCCCUUCCUUUCACAUCAGUGUGGCCUGGUGCUUGGGGGAUCUGACUGCUGAACUCGAGAAACACCAACAUGAGUUGCAGGACAUGGUGGAUAAAUUUGAAAACAGUGCCAGAAUCCUCCAACACUACGCAGAUCAGGUUCGAUGCAAGACAGGAAACAAAGUGUUCUCGUUUUCCUUGCGAUAGCGACGGAAGCAAUCUCUUUGAGGGCUCAACUUGAAGGUGGAACUUGACCGCUGGCUGAAAUAAUGCUAUAACAACGACGUUACCUCAGUGCCAGUCAUGGAUCACGCAUAAUGUCUAGUUCAUCAAUGUACGGACUAGUCCUUUUUGAAAAAUGAAGGCCCCAGUUGGAAUUGUACUUCCAAGUGCUGCUGGAGAAAGAAUCCAUACACAAGUCAGCACACAAUCACUGCAGGUGAAACUUGUUUAUUUACCAUUGAAAAAUAUAACACUUGAGUAGAAACAGAAGCAGUGGUUACAGCAAUGCGCCUUCAGUGAUUAAAUAUGACCAUUCUUAGAAGCUGGGUAUGUGAACUGUACAAGCACAGAUAACAGCAUGAAUACACAAUUGUGAUCAGACUCAGCCACCAGCUUUACAGUCCAAAACAUUAAUGUUUGGUCUAUAAGUAGUAACAAUUGGAUUUACCUCCCUGUCUUGCCAGACCCACUAUUCCAACCACCACGCUGCCACAGGUUGGAAGAAAGCACGGGGAGGGGCAAGUCACCACCCUACUCCAGAGUCUCUGCUUGUUUUAUCCCAUCCGCGGCAGUGUGCCUCUGGUACCCUGCCUAGCCUUUACCAAGAGCAGCCGGUACAGCAGGGCUGCACCCCCAGAGACAGCGCAAUUAAUGUUAGUUUUCCAAUCAGUUAUCAGCAAUCAGAAUACAAGGACAAGGCGGCAGAGCUUACAAAUUUAGUCAGCAUCCACAAUGACCUGCUUUAUGGCUGCACCCAGACUUUGCUGCCUUGAAUAUAGUGCCAAGUAUCAAAAAUAUAACUGCCUUAAGAAAAUAUUCAUGUCCAUUAAGAUAUCGCUGGGCAAGCGCACCAACCAAAUAUUUGGAAUUUGCUUCUACAUUUACAGUUUACGAAAUAUUAAAAUGUACGACAAUAUUGAACUCGACAUAUGAAACUGGUAACAUCCAACAUUUAUAACAAAAUUUCAUAACUGGUAUUCUAGCCUGGGCUUUGAAUUGUCUGGAAACUUUUGAAAAUGUAUAUUGGGACAUGGCUGUUUUCUCUCAAGUAACUAGAUGUCCUAAUAAACCUCUCUUACCUGUUGUGUUGCAAAUUGUAUGAAUUAUCGAUUCUCCAUAAAUUAUCGUGGUGGUGAACUCAGAAUUGUGUUCCCCAGACGUGGCAAAAGUGUAAAUUCUUCUGUGAGAGCUAUUUCUUUUGCUGUGAUGGGGCAGAGGCAAGGAAGCACGCUUUGGUGAUCACCUGGCUACAGACUAAUGGACUCAUCAAUACCCUUUGAUGCUGUCCCCCAUCUUCCAAGUAAGAAAGUGUCCUGUGUCUAUUGUGACUCAUUUCCUUUCUGCAAAUGUACACACAAGCCAAUUGUGUUAUUUCACCGCCACCAACCCAUAAAUUGUGCUCUUUCCCCACCCAAAACAAAAAUUAAAUUGUGUGCACAAAGUUUAAACAUCUUGACUAUCAUAGGCAUGCCGUGGCCUCAGUACAGUGAAGGCACAAAGAUAUAUCCAUUCAAUACACAGCAAAAUAUUGCACGAUCCUGCUAAAAUAUUCUUGGCAAAAGCAAACAAACAACCCCCUCCGCAGAAGUAAAUGGGAAAGGUUAAGUUUUAUUGUCUUUUUAGAAUAAUUAUUUGUGAAAUUGCACUCAAAUCAAGUGACGUAAGGUUUAGGGAAGCAAAAGAUAUCUAUUUUCCCCUUUCACUUGCAUCCAUUUUAAUUUAAAGAUGAUUCAGAAAUGAUGCUUUCAACUAGUAGAAGGUGGGUUUGAAAUUAGGAGGUAGCUGUAUCAUACUUAGUGUUUGGCAAACACAGCUAGAAGCAAAUGUAUGGAAGAGGUAUUCAUAAAGAG